rnacentral:rRNA from 1 species
AAAACGACUCUCGGCAAUGGAUAUCUCGGCUCUCGCAUCGAUGAAGAACGUAGCAAACUGCGAUACUUGGUGUGAAUUGCAGAAUCCCGUGAACCAUCGAGUCUUUGAACGCAAGUUGCGCCCGAAGCCAUCCGGCCGAGGGCACGUCUGCCUGGGCGUCCCGC